UACAGAGGUCUCAAGCGUUGUUCGGAUUCAUUGGGCGUAAAGGGUGCGUAGGUGGCGCUGUAAGUCAGAUGUGAAAUUUCGGAGCUUAACUCCGAAACUGCAUUUGAUACUGCGGUGCUUGAGGGCUGGAGAGGAGAUUGGAAUUCACGGUGUAGCGGUGAAAUGCGUAGAUAUCGUGAGGAAGACCAGUGGCGAAGGCGGAUCUCUGGACAGUUCCUGACACUGAGGCACGAAGGCCAGGGGAGCAAACGGG
rnacentral:rRNA from 1 species